rnacentral:rRNA from 1 species
CCUACGGGAGACAGCAGUGAGGAAUAUUGGUCAAUGGCCGAGAGGCUGAACCAGCCAAGUCGCGUGAGGGAAGAAUGUCCUAUGGAUUGUAAACCUCUUUUGUCAGGGAGCAAAGUCACCCACGUGUGGGUGUUGGAGAGUACCUGAAGAAAAAGCAUCGGCUAACUCCGUGCCAGCAGCCGCGGUAAUACGGAGGAUGCGAGCGUUAUCCGGAUUUAUUGGGUUUAAAGGGUGCGUAGGCGGGUUAUCAAGUCAGCGGUAAAAUCGUGGAGCUCAACUCCAUCCAGCCGUUGAAACUGAUGAUCUUGAGUGGGCGAGAAGUAUGCGGAAUGCGUGGUGUAGCGGUGAAAUGCAUAGAUAUAUGGAAGAACACCAGUGGCGAAAGCGGCUCUCUGGUCUGUAACUGACGCUGAGGUUCGAAAGCGUGGGUAGCAAACAGGAUUAGAUACCCCGGUAGUC